GACGUAGGUGGCGAACGUUAUCCGGAAUUAUUGGGCGUAAAGGGUGCGUAGGUGGCCUGGCAAGUUAUUAGUGGUAAAUCGAGGCUCAACCUCGUGGAAACUAGUAAUACUGUUCGGCUUGAGUGCAGGAGAGGUUAACGGAACUCUAUGUGGAGGGGUAAAAUCCAUAGAUAUAUGGAUGAACAUCAAUAACGGCGAAGGCAGUUAACUAUUCUGUUACUGACACUGAGGCACGAAAGCGUGGGAAGCAAAACGG
rnacentral:rRNA from 1 species